AGCAGCCGCGGUAAUUCCAGCUCCAAUAGCGUAUAUUAAAGUUGUUGCAGUUAAAAAGCUCGUAGUUGAAUUUCAGGCCUGGCUGGACGGUCCGCCCUUCGGGUGAGUACUGUCUGUGGUCGGGUCCUACCUUCUGGCGAAGCGUCAUGGCCUUAACCGGCCGUGGCGGGGAACCAGGACUUUUACUGUGAAAAAAUUAGAGUGUUUAAAGCAGGCAAUCGCUUGGAUACAUUAGCAUGGAAUAAUGGAAUAGGACAAUGGUUCUAUUUGUUGGUUUCUAGGACCGUUGUAAUGAUUAAUAGGGAUAGUUGGGGGCAUUAGUAUUCAAUUGUCAGAGGUGAAAUUCUUGGAUUUAUUGAAGACUAACUACUGCGAAAGCAUUUGCCAAGGAUGUUUUCAUUAAUCAAGAACGAAAGUUGGGGGCUCGAAGACGAUCAGAUACCGUCCUAGUCUCAACCAUAAACGAUGCCGACCAGGGAUCGGCGGAUGUUACUUUUAGGACUC
rnacentral:rRNA from 1 species